CGGCGAGAGGAGAAAUUGGGGGUGGAUGGUUUAGGGUUUAAGGUUUGGGAGUGAAAUUGGGGGUGAAGUGUGAAAUUGGGGGUUGUUUAAAGGGUCAUUUUACAUUAAUACCUUAUUCUUUUAAAAUUUUAUAAAUAGGUCCGCAUUAUUAGCGAUGAUAAAUUUUAAAUCGUCGCUAAAUGUUAUAUCUAACGACGAUUAUCAACAUAUC
rnacentral:lncRNA from 1 species